GGCAAUUACUCUCGUUCAAUGAGAUCAGACUUCAACAGUUUGCCAGAGCGUUCGGAAUACGUCACGAUAUCUGAGAAAUACGCGAAUAUGCUUGGUUCUGAGAUGAGAUGCUAUCCUAAUGGAAGAAGCGGACAUGUUCGAAGCGACGGAUAAGAUGGAAGCAACGGAAUAU